UUUUAAAACUUAGUUUCACUUUCGGUUUACGCUACAUGUGCUUCUUCACUUGCAUGACCAUGAAGGGUGACAGGUUGAACAAUGUUUGCCCUUGUGCUCUUUGACCUAGAUGGAUGUACAGCCAUAAUUGAUGUAAAGAAAUUUAGGGUCCCAGAUGUUCAAGCUGUCCUCAAAGGCCAGCAGGUCGAUGUGCUGUACACGCGAAAGAUUUUGAAAGUCGAAGUCUUGGAACUUUCUGAUUCACGGGCUUUCCUAAAUGACUUUGAGGAUGAGUGGUCCACCAGUCAUCGAUCUCUUGCCCUUGACAAAGAAAAGAAGAAGAGGAAAAACAAGCCUCAUGGAUAUCUUUCUGUUUGGCCAACAGAUGAGG